CUAACAGAAAAAGCGGAUGGUGGUUCCUGCGGCCCUCAAGGUUGUGCGUCUGAAGCCUAUAAGGAAGUUUGCCUAUCUGGGGCACCUGGCUCAUGAGGUUGGCUGGAAGUACCAGGCAGUGACAGCCACCCUGGAGGAGAAGAGGAAGGAGAAAGCCAAGAUCCACUACCGGAAGAAGAAACAGCUCAUGAGGCUAUGGAAACAAGCCGAGAAGAACGUGGAGAAGAAAACUGACAAAUACACAGAGGUCCUGAAGACCCAUGGACUCCUAGUCUGACCCCAAUAAAGACUGUUAAUUCCUCA